rnacentral:piRNA from 1 species
UACUACCUUGUAGAGCUGUAAAGUGUCCC